rnacentral:rRNA from 1 species
UACAGAGGGUGCGAGCGUUAAUCGGAAUUACUGGGCGUAAAGCGUGCGUAGACGGUAGCGUAAGUCAGAUGUGAAAGCCCCGGGCUCAACCUGGGAACUGCAUUUGAGACUGCUCUGCUCGGAUGCGGAAGAGGGAAGCGGAAUUUCCGGUGUAGCGGUGAAAUGCAUAGAUAUCGGAAGGAACACCAGUGGCGAAAGCGGCUUCCUGGUCCGACACCGACGUUCAGGCACGAAAGCGUGGGGAGCAAACAGG